AUGGAUGAUGCAACGGAGCCCUGGGCUGACAGCCCUGUUUGCUCCGGUCCUGGGCGGCAGCGACCACAUGCUGGACAGCGGCCAGCGCGCGGCCAGCGCGCGGCCAGGUGGUCAGGUCGCCCUAGCCCAGCUCACGCGCUGGCAUCCCACCGUCUGGGCGCUGGGCCCACGACGGCCCCUGGGCAGGGCUGGGCCCUGCAGACUGUCCGUCGGGGGCACCCGGGCCCCCCAUCGCGGCCAGGCAGCGCUGUCCGCACGAGUCCCCCGCCUAGAGCCGGGCGAUGCAGGGGGCGGGGCGGGGCAUGUCUAGGAGGCGGUCCCCCCACCUCUGGGAGUGGGUGUUUCCGGCAUCCAGUCAGGCCUUUGAGGAAACGCCUGAGGCUCCCGCGGGCCAAAGGGCUCAGCGAGCAGCCGGGAGUUCCCGCUGGACUCCGCGGUCAGAGAGUGCGGUGCGCACGCGGCGUCCCCCGGGGAGACGCGCGGACAGACUCCCUCGGACCCCCACCCGUAACAGGAGAGAGGGGACACUCAGACCCUGGCCGGAGGCGCUCCCAGCUUCGUAGCUGCUCAGCCGGGCGCUUCAUCCUGGGAGCCUAUACUGUCUCGUUUCCUGCAGCAACACCCACCAGAGGACAGAGCGCCUCAGGGCGUGAAGGAGAUCUCCCGGCUCGGCCUCCGAUGGGCGGGCAAGUGAGCUCGGCCGGCUCCUUCCGCGGCCUGCCCUGCGCCUCCAAGGCGAACGCGGACUGGAUGUCGGCGCUGAGCUCUCGACUCUGGGACGUGCCACUGCACCAGCUCUCCAUCCCAGAGCUCGGGCAGCGCCUUCUGCACUUGACCCGGAGCGCCCAAGGUUUAGGGUGUCCGCCCGGCCCCAGACGGCUCGGGAGUCACGACACGAUGACCUACUGCCUGAACAAGAAGUCGCCCAUCUCCAGCCAGGAGCCGAGGCUGCUGCAGCUUCUGCGCAAAGUGCUGCCGUGCGUCACCCUGCCCGUGGUGCUCAAGUGGUCCACCACACAGGUGCUGAGCGUCACUGAGCAGCUGGACGCGGGCGUGCGGUACCUGGACCUGCGGAUCGCACACAUGGAGGAGGGCUCCGAGAGGAACCUGCACUUCGUCCACAUGGUGUACACGACGGCCCUCGUGGAGGACACGCUCACGGAGAUCUCCGAGUGGCUGGAGGGCCACCCCCGGGAGGUGGUCAUCCUGGCGUGCAGGAACUUCGAGGGCAUGACGGAGGGCCUGCACGAGUACCUGGUGGGCUGCAUCAAGAACAUCUUUGGGGACAUGCUGUGUCCCCGCGGGGAGGUGCCGACUCUGCGCCAGCUGUGGUCACGGGGCCAGCAGGUCAUCCUGUCGUACGAGGACGAGGCGGCCGUGAGCCGGCACGUGGAGCUGUGGCCCGGGAUCCCCUACUGGUGGGGGAACAAGGUGAAGCCCCAGGACCUCGUCCACUACCUGGAGCGCAUGAAGAGCUGCGGCCGCCCAGGCGGGCUGUUCGUGGCCGGCAUCAACCUCACGGAGAACCUGGAGUUCAUCCUCGUCCACCCGGCCUGGUCGCUGCAGAAGCUGACCCUCUCGGGGCUCCCCUACCUGUGCGCGUGGGUGCGGGCCCAGUGCCCGGGGUCGGCCGCCGGCUGCACCAACAUCAUCGCGGGCGACUUCAUCGGGGCCAGCGGGUUUGUCAGCGACGUCAUUGGGCUGAACCGGAAGCUGCUUCGGGGCUGACGGGCGGAGCCGGGCAUCCCGGGGGCUGCUCCUCGGGCGCGUCUUGUGACGUCACCGGGCUGAACCGGAAGCCGCCUGGGGCUGACGGACAGCACGUGGGCGGAGCCGGGCAUCCCGGGGGCUGCUCCUCGGGCGCGUCCUGUGACGUCACAGGGCUGAACCGGAAGCCGCCUGGGGCUGACAGACGGCGCGCUGAGGAGCUGGGCAUCGCCGAGGCUGUUGUCAGUCCUGUCCUGCGGGGCUGGCAGUCCAUCCAUCCAUCCACGGAAUGUGGGUGGCUACAGAGGUGGGGCCGGGUGGCAGGGUCCUUGCGCUCCUCGGUCCUCCGUGUCUCUCAGCGGAUGUAGGGUGUGAGGUGAUGAUUAAAGGCGACUCGUGAUUAGUACAAUCGCAUCUUCCAAGGAGACUCCUGGGUCUGUCUGUGGAUUCCCCAUGGGAGAGGCUGGGGAACCCCCUCCCCCUGGGCGCUGAGAGCGGCCGACACAACCCCCAGCUGGGUCGAGGGGGUGGGGGGGCAGUAUGACACACUGCCCGUAGGGGGCACUGAGCGCAUAGCGAUCCCACUGAGAAAUCCCUUUUAUUAGAUGAGGGGCUGCCCUGGUGGCUCACCUAAGAAGGCCUUCCUAUCUCUCCCUGCUAUUCUUUGGAACUCUGCAUUCAGGUGGCUGUAUCUUUCCAUGUCUCCUUUGCCUGUCUCUUCUCAGCAAUUUGUAAGGCCUCCUCAGACAACCAGUUUGCCUUUUUGCAUUUAUUUUUCUUGUGGGUGCUUCUGAUCACCACCUCCUGUGCAGUGUUAGGAACCUGGGGCCAUAGGUCUGGUACUCUGUGUGCACGAUCUACCCCUUGAAUCUAUUUGUCACUUCCACUGUAUAAUCACAAGGGAUUUGAAUAAAGCAAAGAAACAGGAAAACA
rnacentral:lncRNA from 1 species